CCUGCCUGACUCCCCGGGAUAACAGGCCGAAAGGCCUGCUAAUACCGGGUAAGCUCACGGGACCGCAUGGUUCCGGGAGAAAAGGCCCUGCAAGGGGUUGGGGUCAGAGGGGUCCGCGGUCCAUUAGCUAGUUGGAGGGGUAACGGCCCACCAAGGCGACGAUGGAUAGUCGGCCUGAGAGGGCGACCGGCCACACUGGGACUGAGACACGGCCCAGACUCCUACGGGAGGCAGCAGUCGGGAAUUUUGGGCAAUGGCCGAAAGGGCUGACCCAGCAACGCCGCGUGAGUGAAGAAGGCCUUCGGGUUGUAAAGCUCUGUUGCUCGUGAAGAACGGUACUGUGAGGAAAUGCGCAGUAUUUGACGGUAGCGAGUGAGGAAGCCCCGGCUAACUACGUGCCAGCAGCCGCGGUAAUACGUAGGGGGCGAGCGUUGUCCGGAUUUAUUGGGCGUAAAGGGCGUGUA
rnacentral:rRNA from 1 species